GACGAACGCUGGCGGCGUGCCUAAUCCAUGCAAGUAGAACGCAGUUGCGAACGGGUGAGUACCGCGUAGUUAACUGCAUGGUAGCGGGGGAUAACUAUUGGAAACGAUAGCUAAUACCGCAUACUACCAGAUGGACCUGCGUUGUAUUAGCUAGUUGGUGGGGUAACGGCUCACCAAGGCAACGAUACAUCGCCGACAGGGGAGGGGGAUCGGCCAAACUGGGACUGGGACCCGGCCCAGGCUCCUAAGGGAGGCAGCAGUAGGGGAUCUUCGGCAAUGGGGGGAACCCUGAACGAGCAACGCCGCGGGAGUGAAGAAGGUUUUCGGAUCGGAAAGCUCUGUUGGUAAGGAAGCGGUACUUAACCAGAAAGGGACGGCUAACUACGUGCCAGCAGCCGCGGUAAUUC
rnacentral:rRNA from 1 species